AAUAGAUACCCGGGUAGUCCACGCCGUAAACGAUGAGUGCUAAGUGUUAGAGGGUUUCCGCCCUUUAGUGCUGCAGCUAACGCAUUAAGCACUCCGCCUGGGGAGUACGGUCGCAAGACUGAAACUCAAAGGAAUUGACGGGGGCCCGCACAAGCGGUGGAGCAUGUGGUUUAAUUCGAAGCAACGCGAAGAACCUUACCAGGUCUUGACAUCCCACUGACCGGUAUAGAGAUAUACCUUUCCCUUCGGGGACAGUGGUGACAGGCAGUGCAUGGUUGUCGUCAGCUCGUGUCGUGAGAUGUUGGGUUAAGUCCCGCAACGAGCGCAACCCUUGAUCUUAGUUGCCAGCAUUUAGUUGGGCACUCUAAGGUGACUGCCGGUGACAAACCGGAGGAAGGUGGGGAUGACGUCAAAUCAUCAUGCCCCUUAUGACCUGGGCUACACACGUGCUACAAUGGAUGGUACAAAGGGCUGCAAGACUGCGAAGUCAAGCCAAUCCCAUAAAACCAUUCUCAGUUCGGAUUGC
rnacentral:rRNA from 1 species